CCCAUGAAUUUCCAUACAAAACGACGGAUAGUAACGAGAGAAAUUGUUAUUGUCCUACGCCAACAGUCCCUUCUUUCCGUUAUUCAACAUGGUCCUUUAAUAUUAUUGAAUCUCCCGAGACUGCGCUGUAGUUUAAUCUAAGCGGUUCUUCAAAAAAUAAUUGUAAUUUAUGUCAAAUCAGCCCCUCAUCCAGUUUCUACCCUGCAAAUAUAGGAGAAACUGGAAUAGGUUCACCCAUUUGGCACAGAUUAAUUUUCUUCUGGAAUCAAGGAUCAACCGAAUGAGAUGGGAUUUUCAGGGUUCAUCGUUGUCAAUCCCGAGUACAUAACGUAAUCUUGCGUUUAUACAAAUCUAUCACCUAUGUUCGAUCGGUGGCGUGGCCUCGAUAAUUCGUCAGCGGUGAUGAGUCAGCUACUGAUUGUCUACUCAAACGACACCCCCUCCCCCCCACCCCCCACUGGAUUUUUCAAAUGGAACGGACUAUGAUCUUGAACGAACAAUUAUAGAAUGAUUCUUUGUUUUGCUAUCGCACUUAAUUACGUAACUUCAUGUGAUUACCAACAACAUACUUUUCGCUUCACCAGACCUCCUCACUGUUACACCUAUAAAAGUAAAAGCGACGAUAUUCUCAGUUAGUAGUUAAUAGAAACUGCUUCGAGUGACAAGAAACCGACGAAGAUCAAAUUUAGAAAAGAUGGAACGUUGGGUCGGGAAGGUCGCGCUGGUAACUGGAGCCAGCUCUGGAAUCGGUGCUGCGAUAACUGAGAAUCUGGUCAGAGAUGGUCUUCAGGUCGUCGGAGUGGCCAGGCGAGUGGAAAAAGUCGAAGAAAUAAAUAAAAAACUCGAGGGAUUCAAAGGGAAACUGCACGUGAGGAAGUGCGACGUCACCAAGGAGGAAGAUAUCCUCGAGGUCUUCCGAUGGAUAAAGGAAAACCUCGGCGGUGUGGAUGUCCUCGUUAAUAACGCCGGAUUGUUCGUGGCCGGAUCACUCACCGACGGAGAAACGGAAGGCUUCAAACGUAUCUUGGAUGUGAAUGUGCUGGCUGUCGCCAUCGCGACGAGGGAGGCUGUGCGCUCCAUGAAGGAACGCGAAGUCGCGGGUCACAUUUUCAACAUUAACAGCGUAUUGGGUCACUUCAUAGGACCGCCGAAUAACAUCGUAUCCUUGUAUCCGAGCAGCAAGUUUGCGGUUACAGCUAUGACGGAAGUGACGAGAAAGGAACUUGUCCUAGCAGGAACGAAAAUCAAAAUCACGAGCGUCAGUCCAGGUUACGUGAGUACGGAAUUAUUCAGUCCUAAUGGAGUUUCGGUCAUCUCUCCGGACCGGCUCAAAACCCUGUCAGCGCUGAACCCCGAGGAUGUCGCGAAUGCCGUUAGCUAUGCAUUGUCCACUCCGGAACACGUUCAGGUCUGUGAGCUGAUUAUCCGCGCCGUUGGAGGUCUGGAUUAACACGUUUCCGUAACUUACAAUUAGAUUAUGGAGUGGACGUAUAACAUAACGAUACGAGGAUCCACCUUCCAAGUGCAUAAUGUCAUCGUGUUUGGAAAUACAACAUGUUGUGAAGAUACGUGUAUCUAGAAUCCUUCAAAGUCCGCCCUCGAGAGGUUCUUCAAACAUUGUGCGUGCAAAUAAAAUCGUUAUCGGGCACGCGUAGAUAGAAUUAAUAGGUCAUAGAGCAGUUACUGCAAACACAGACUUGGUCAUCUGGCUAUUCAGGGAACGGCUGAGCUUGAAUUUAAAAAAAAUUGAACGUCAGGUCGAAAAGUUUCCCUGAAAUUCAAAUCAACCAGAUUCGCGAACGAUAUUAUUGUUUUUGUCCGAUGGCGUGAAAUGAACGGGGCAGUUUGGAGAUUUGUUCGAAGUUAAUUCGGUGGAAGGGCCGGAUUUAGCGAGGAUCGAGUUCAAAAGGUCAAAAGACUCUAUCGCACGAAGUAAACGCGGAUCGGUAGAAUCGUACGUGGUCAUUUCGCUAAUGGACCAUCAAUGGAUAUAUAUUCGCUCUGUAUCUACCUAUGUGGAGGAACUUUGUAAACGACGAUUUAAGAAUCGACUCUUAAAAUGGGCGCAACCCCCUCGUUCAAGUGAAAGUAAAGUGUAAUGUGAAUGAAAGUAAAAUGGAUUUUUUCAAA